rnacentral:rRNA from 1 species
AGAGCGAACGCUGGCGGCAGGCCUAACACAUGCAAGUCGAGCGCCCGUAGCAAUACGGGAGCGGCAGACGGGAUAGUAACACGUGGGAACGCGCCCUUUGGUUCGGAACAACUCAGGGAAACUUGAGCUAAUACCGAAUGUGCCCUUCGGGGGAAAGAUUUAUCGCCAUUGGAGCGGCCCGCGUCUGAUUAGCUAGUUGGUGAGGUAAAGGCUCACCAAGGCGACGAUCAGUAGCUGGUCUGAGAGGAUGAUCAGCCACACUGGGACUGAGACACGGCCCAGACUCCUACGGGAGGCAGCAGUAGGGAAUCUUGCGCAAUGGGCGAAAGCCUGACGCAGCCAUGCCGCGUGAAUGAUGAAGGUCUUAGGAUUGUAAAAUUCUUUCAGCGGGACGAUAAUGACGGUACCCGCAGAAGAAGCCCCGGCUAACUUCGUGCCAGCAGCCGC